rnacentral:rRNA from 1 species
AAGAAGGCCUUCGGGUUGUAAAGCACUUUCAGUCGUGAGGAAGGUGGUAGUGUUAAUAGCACUAUCAUUUGACGUUAGCGACAGAAGAAGCACCGGCUAACUCCGUGCCAGCAGCCGCGGUAAUACGGAGGGUGCGAGCGUUAAUCGGAAUUACUGGGCGUAAAGCGCAUGCAGGUGGUUUGUUAAGUCAGAUGUGAAAGCCCGGGGCUCAACCUCGGAAUUGCAUUUGAAACUGGCAGACUAGAGUACUGUAGAGGGGGGUAGAAUUUCAGGUGUAGCGGUGAAAUGCGUAGAGA